rnacentral:rRNA from 3 species
GGUUAAGUGACUAAGCGUACAUGGUGGAUGCCUUGGCAGUCAGAGGCGAUGAAGGACGUACUAACCUGCGAUAAGCUGUGAGAAGUCGGUAAGAGACGCUAUUACU